rnacentral:rRNA from 1 species
AAUGAACGCUGGCGGCAGGCCUAACACAUGCAAGUCGAACGAGUGGCGGACGGGUGAGUAAUGUCUGGGAAACUGCCCGAUGGAGGGGGAUAACUACUGGAAACGGUAGCUAAUACCGCAUACCAUCGGAUGUGCACAGAUGGGAUUAGCUAGUAGGUGGGGUAACGGCUCACCUAGGCGACGAUCCCUAGCUGGUCUGAGAGGAUGACCAGCCACACUGGAACUUAGCCCCGUUCCAGCCUCCUACGGUAGGCAGCAGUGGGGAACAUUGCACAAUGGGCGCAAGCCUGAUGCAGACCUGCCGCGUGUAUGAAGAAGGCCUUCGGGUUUUAAAGUCCUUUCAGCGAGUAGGCGUUACUCGCAGAAGAAGCACCGGCUAACUCCGUGCCAGCAGCCGCGGUAAUUC